GAUGAACGCUGGCGGCGUGCCUAAUACAUGCAAGUCGAGCGAACGGACGAGAAGCUUGCUUUUCUGAUGUUAGCGGCGGACGGGUGAGUAACACGUGGAUAACCUACCUAUAAGACUGGGAUAACUUCGGGAAACCGGAGCUAAUACCGGAUAAUAUUUUGAACCGCAGGGUUCAAAAGUGAAAGACGGUUUUGCUGUCACUUAUAGAUGGAUCCGCGCUGCAUUAGCUAGUUGGUAAGGUAACGGCUUACCAAGGCGACGAUGCAUAGCCGACCUGAGAGGGUGAUCGGCCACACUGGAACUGAGACACGGUCCAGACUCCUACGGGAGGCAGCAGUAGGGAAUCUUCCGCAAUGGGCGAAAGCCUGACGGAGCAACGCCGCGUGAGUGAUGAAGGUCUUCGGAUCGUAAAACUCUGUUAUUAGGGAAGAACAUAUGUGUAAGUAACUGUGCACAUCUUGACGGUACCUAAUCAGAAAGCCACGGCUAACUACGUG
rnacentral:rRNA from 1 species